UACAGAGGUCCCGAGCGUUGUUCGGAUUCACUGGGCGUAAAGGGUGCGUAGGUGGUGAGACAAGUCGGAUGUGAAAGCCCGGAGCUUAACUCCGGAACGGCAUUGGAAACUGUCUUGCUAGAGGUUUGGAGGGGGGACUGGAAUUCUCGGUGUAGCAGUGAAAUGCGUAGAUAUCGAGAGGAACACCAGUGGCGAAGGCGAGUCCCUGGACAACACCUGACACUGAGGCACGAAAGCUAGGGGAGCAAACAGG
rnacentral:rRNA from 1 species